CAGCAGCCGCGGUAAUACCGGCGGCCCGAGUGGCGGUCACUAUUAUUGGGCUUAAAGCGUCCGUAGCCGGGUUGGGAAGUCCUCCGGGAAAUCUGGCCGCUUAACGGUCAGAAUGCCGGAGGAUACUCCCAGCCUAGGGAGCGGGAGAGGCCGAGGGUAUUCCCGGAGUAGGGGUGAAAUCCUAUAAUCCCGGGAGGACCACCUGUGGCGAAGGCGCUCGGCUGGAACGCGUCCGACGGGGAGGGACGAAGGCCAGGGGAGCAAACCGGAUUAGAUACCCGGGUAGUCCUGGCGGUAAACGAUGCGGACUUUGUGUCGGACAAGCUAUGAGCUUGUCCGGUGCCGGAGGGAAACCGUUAAGUCCGCCGCCUGGGGAGUACGGCCGCAAGGCUGAAACUUAAAGGAAUUGGCGGG
rnacentral:rRNA from 1 species